UCGAGCACUCUAGACGAACUGCCGUUGACAAAACGGAGGAAGGUGGGGAUGACGUCAAAUCAUCAUGCCCCUUAUGUUCUGGGCUACACACGUGCUACAAUGGCCGGUACAGACGGACGCAAAGCCGCGAGGUGGAGCAAAUCCUAAAAAGCCGGUCUCAGUUCGGAUUGCAGGCUGCAAUUCGCCUGCAUGAAGUCGGAAUCGCUAGUAAUCGCAGGUCAGCAUACUGCGGUGAAUACGUUCCCGGGCCUU
rnacentral:rRNA from 1 species